GAUGAACGCUAGCGGGAGGCCUAACACAUGCAAGCCGAGCGGUAUUUCUUCUUCGGGAGAGAGAGAGCGGCGUACGGGUGCGGAACACGUGUGCAACCUGCCUUUAUCUAGAGGAUAGCCUUUCGAAAGGAAGAUUAAUACUCUAUAAUAUAUUAAUUGGCAUCAAUUGAUAUUGAAAACUCCGGUGGAUAGAGAUGGGCACGCACAAGAUUAGCUAGUUGGUGAGGUAACGGCUCACCAAGGCAAUGAUCUUUAGGGGGCCUGAGAGGGUGAUCCCCCACACUGGUACGGAGACACGGACCAGACUCCUACGGGAGGCAGCAGUGAGGAAUAUUGGUCAAUGGGUGCAAGCUUGAACCAGCCAUCCCGCGUGAAGGAUUAAGGUCCUAUGGAUUGUAAACUUCUUUUGUAUAGGGAUAAACCUACCCUCGUUAGGGUAGCUGAAGGUACUAUACGAAUAAGCACCGGCUAACUCCGUGCCAGCCGCCGCAGUAA
rnacentral:rRNA from 1 species